rnacentral:rRNA from 1 species
GACGAACGCUGGCGGCGUGCCUAAUACAUGCAAGUCGAACGAAGCUGUUUUAACUGGUGCUUGCACCGACUUAAACAACUGAGUGGCGAACGGGUGAGUAACACGUGGGUAACCUGCCCCAAAGCGGGGGAUAACAUUUGGAAACAGAUGCUAAUACCGCAUAACCACAGAAACCACAUGGUUUCUGUGUCAAAGAUGGGUUCGGCUAUCACUUUGGGAUGGACCGGCGGCGUAUUAGCCAGUUGGGAAGGUAAUGGCUUACCAAGGCAAUGAAACGUAGACGAACUGAGAGGUUGAUCGGCGACAUUGGGACUGAGACACGGCCCAAACUCCUACGGGAGGCAGCAGUAGGGAAUCUUCCACAAUGGACGAAAGUCUGAUGGAGCAACGCCGCGUGAGUGAAGAAGGUUUUCGGAUCGUAAAACUCUGUUGUCAGAGAAGAACGUGUGCGAGAGUAACUGCUCGUGCAGUGACGGUAUCUGGCCAGAAAGCCACGGCUAACUACGUGCCAGCCGCCGCCGUAA